rnacentral:rRNA from 1 species
GUCAGGCGGGGCCACCCGCCGAGUUUAAGCAUAUAAAUAAGCGGAGGAGAAGAAACUUACGAGGAUUCCCCUAGUAACGGCGAGCGAACCGGGAUCAGCCCAGCUUGAGAAUCGGGCGGCGGCGCCGUCCGAAUUGUAGUCUGGAGAAGCGUCCUCAGCGACGGACCGGGCCCAAGUCCCCUGGAAAGGGGCGCCGGGGAGGGUGAGAGCCCCGUCC